rnacentral:rRNA from 1 species
GACGAACGCUGGCGGCGUGCUUAACACAUGCAAGUCGAACGCUGAAGCUUGGUGCUUGCACUGGGUGGAUGAGUGGCGAACGGGUGAGUAAUACGUGAGUAACCUGCCCUUGACUCUGGGAUAAGUCUGGGAAACUGGGUCUAAUACUGGAUAUGACAUGCCACUGCAUGGUGGUGUGUGGAAAGGGUUUUACUGGUUUUGGAUGGGCUCACGGCCUAUCAGCUUGUUGGUGGGGUAAUGGCCUACCAAGGCGACGACGGGUAGCCGGCCUGAGAGGGUGACCGGCCACACUGGGACUGAGACACGGCCCAGACUCCUACGGGAGGCAGCAGUGGGGAAUAUUGCACAAUGGGCGGAAGCCUGAUGCAGCGACGCCGCGUGAGGGAUGACGGCCUUCGGGUUGUAAACCUCUUUCAGCACGGAAGAAGCGAGAGUGACGGUACGUGCAGAAGAAGCGCCGGCUAACUACGUG